rnacentral:lncRNA from 1 species
AAAAUGAGUGAAUUUUGGAUUUUUAUUGUAAAACAGAGCAAAAGGAGUGAAUUUCAUGGUGAAAUCGAGCAAAAGGAGUGAAUUUUGUUGUGAAAUCAAGCAAAAGGAGUGAAUUUUCUUGUGAAAUAGAACAAAAUGAGUGAAUUUUGUGGUAAAACAGAGGAAAAGGGAUGGAUUUUUUUUUGAAACAGGAAAAUGAGUGAAUUUUGUGGUGAAAUCAAGCAGAGUGAGUGAAUUUUAUUGUAAAACAGGAAAAGGAGUGAAUUUUGUGGUGAAAUCGAGCAAAAUGAGUGAUUUUCAUUGUAAAACAGAGCAAAAGGGGUGAAUUUUGUGGUGAAAUCAAGCAAAGUGAGUGAAUUUUAUUGUAAAACAGGAAAAGGAGUGAAUUUUGUGGUGAAAUCAAGGAAAAUGAGUGAUUUUUGUGGUGAAAUAGAGCAAAAUUAGUGGUUUUUAUUGUAAAACGGAGCAAAAGGGGUGAAUUUCAUGGUGAAAUUGAGCAAAAGGAGUGAAUUUUGUGGUGAAAUUGAGGAAAAUGAAUGAAUUUUAUUGUAAAACAGGAAAAAGAGUGAAUUUUGUGGUGAAAUAGAGCCAAAUCAGUGAUUUUUAUUGUAAAACAGAGCAAAAGGGGUGAAUUUUGUGGUGAAAUAGAGCAAAAUUAGUGAUUUUUAUUGUAAAACGGAGCAAAAGGAGUGAAUUUUGUGGUGAAAUCGUGCAAAAUGAGUGUUUUUUAUUGUAAAACGGAGCAAAAGGAGUGAUUUUUUUUGUGAAAUAGAGUGAAAUGAGUGAUUUUCAUUGCAAAACAGAGCAAAAGGACUGAAUUUUGUGGUGAAAUCGAGCAAAAGGGGUGAAUUUUGUGGUGAAAUAGAGUGAAAUUAGUGAAUUUUGUGGUGAAAUCGUGCAAAAUG